rnacentral:rRNA from 1 species
UUAAGCGACUAAGCGUACACGGUGGAUGCCCUGGCAGUCAGAGGCGAUGAAGGACGUGCUAAUCUGCGAUAAGCGUCGGUAAGGUGAUAUGAACCGUUAUAACCGGCGAUUUCCGAAUGGGGAAACCCAGUGUGAUUCGUCACACUAUCAUUAACUGAAUCCAUAGGUUAAUGAGGCGAACCGGGGGAACUGAAACAUCUAAGUACCCCGAGGAAAAGAAAUCAACCGAGAUUCCCCCAGUAGCGGCGAGCGAACGGGGAGGAGCCCAGAGCCUGAAUCAGUGUGUGUGUUAGUGGAAGCGUCUGGAAAGGCGCGCGAUACAGGGUGACAGCCCCGUACACAAAAAUGCACAUGCUGUGAGCUCGAUGAGUAGGGCGGGACACGUGGUAUCCUGUCUGAAUAUGGGGGGACCAUCCUCCAAGGCUAAAUACUCCUGACUGACCGAUAGUGAACCAGUACCGUGAGGGAAAGGCGAAAAGAACCCCGGCGAGGGGAGUGAAAAAGAACCUGAAACCGUGUACGUACAAGCAGUGGGAGCACAGAGCAAUCUGUGUGACUGCGUACCUUUUGUAUAAUGGGUCAGCGACUUAUAUUCUGUAGCAAGGUUAACCGAAUAGGGGAGCCGAAGGGAAACCGAGUCUUAACUGGGCGUUAAGUUGCAGGGUAUAGACCCGAAACCCGGUGAUCUAGCCAUGGGCAGGUUGAAGGUUGGGUAACACUAACUGGAGGACCGAACCGACUAAUGUUGAAAAAUUAGCGGAUGACUUGUGGCUGGGGGUGAAAGGCCAAUCAAACCGGGAGAUAGCUGGUUCUCCCCGAAAGCUAUUUAGGUAGCGCCUCGUGAAUUCAUCUCCGGGGGUAGAGCACUGUUUCGGCAAGGGGGUCAUCCCGACUUACCAACCCGAUGCAAACUGCGAAUACCGGAGAAUGUUAUCACGGGAGACACACGGCGGGUGCUAACGUCCGUCGUGAAGAGGGAAACAACCCAGACCGCCAGCUAAGGUCCCAAAGUCAUGGUUAAGUGGGAAACGAUGUGGGAAGGCCCAGACAGCCAGGAUGUUGGCUUAGAAGCAGCCAUCAUUUAAAGAAAGCGUAAUAGCUCACUGGUCGAGUCGGCCUGCGCGGAAGAUGUAACGGGGCUAAACCAUGCACCGAAGCUGCGGCAGCGACGCUUAUGCGUUGUUGGGUAGGGGAGCGUUCUGUAAGCCUGUGAAGGUGUGCUGUGAGGCAUGCUGGAGGUAUCAGAAGUGCGAAUGCUGACAUAAGUAACGAUAAAGCGGGUGAAAAGCCCGCUCGCCGGAAGACCAAGGGUUCCUGUCCAACGUUAAUCGGGGCAGGGUGAGUCGACCCCUAAGGCGAGGCCGAAAGGCGUAGUCGAUGGGAAACAGGUUAAUAUUCCUGUACUUGGUGUUACUGCGAAGGGGGACGGAGAAGGCUAUGUUGGCCGGGCGACGGUUGUCCCGGUUUAAGCGUGUAGGCUGGUUUUCCAGGCAAAUCCGGAAAAUCAAGGCUGAGGCGUGAUGACGAGGCACUACGGUGCUGAAGCAACAAAUGCCCUGCUUCCAGGAAAAGCCUCUAAGCAUCAGGUAACAUCAAAUCGUACCCCAAACCGACACAGGUGGUCAGGUAGAGAAUACCAAGGCGCUUGAGAGAACUCGGGUGAAGGAACUAGGCAAAAUGGUGCCGUAACUUCGGGAGAAGGCACGCUGAUAUGUAGGUGAAGUCCCUCGCGGAUGGAGCUGAAAUCAGUCGAAGAUACCAGCUGGCUGCAACUGUUUAUUAAAAACACAGCACUGUGCAAACACGAAAGUGGACGUAUACGGUGUGACGCCUGCCCGGUGCCGGAAGGUUAAUUGAUGGGGUUAGCGCAAGCGAAGCUCUUGAUCGAAGCCCCGGUAAACGGCGGCCGUAACUAUAACGGUCCUAAGGUAGCGAAAUUCCUUGUCGGGUAAGUUCCGACCUGCACGAAUGGCGUAAUGAUGGCCAGGCUGUCUCCACCCGAGACUCAGUGAAAUUGAACUCGCUGUGAAGAUGCAGUGUACCCGCGGCAAGACGGAAAGACCCCGUGAACCUUUACUAUAGCUUGACACUGAACAUUGAGCCUUGAUGUGUAGGAUAGGUGGGAGGCUUUGAAGUGUGGACGCCAGUCUGCAUGGAGCCGACCUUGAAAUACCACCCUUUAAUGUUUGAUGUUCUAACGUUGACCCGUGAUCCGGGUUGCGGACAGUGUCUGGUGGGUAGUUUGACUGGGGCGGUCUCCUCCUAAAGAGUAACGGAGGAGCACGAAGGUUGGCUAAUCCUGGUCGGACAUCAGGAGGUUAGUGCAAUGGCAUAAGCCAGCUUGACUGCGAGCGUGACGGCGCGAGCAGGUGCGAAAGCAGGUCAUAGUGAUCCGGUGGUUCUGAAUGGAAGGGCCAUCGCUCAACGGAUAAAAGGUACUCCGGGGAUAACAGGCUGAUACCGCCCAAGAGUUCAUAUCGACGGCGGUGUUUGGCACCUCGAUGUCGGCUCAUCACAUCCUGGGGCUGAAGUAGGUCCCAAGGGUAUGGCUGUUCGCCAUUUAAAGUGGUACGCGAGCUGGGUUUAGAACGUCGUGAGACAGUUCGGUCCCUAUCUGCCGUGGGCGCUGGAGAACUGAGGGGGGCUGCUCCUAGUACGAGAGGACCGGAGUGGACGCAUCACUGGUGUUCGGGUUGUCAUGCCAAUGGCACUGCCCGGUAGCUAAAUGCGGAAGAGAUAAGUGCUGAAAGCAUCUAAGCACGAAACUUGCCCCGAGAUGAGUUCUCCCUGACUCCUUGAGAGUCCUGAAGGAACGUUGAAGACGACGACGUUGAUAGGCCGGGUGUGUAAGCGCAGCGAUGCGUUGAGCUAACCGGUACUAAUGAACCGUGAGGCUUAACCUU